AUGAAUCAAAAAAUAUAUGAUAUGUUAGAAGCACAUAUGGUACAUUUAAUUAAUUUUUUAAAUAAUGAUGAUAUAACAAUAAUAAUACAAACUUUUAAUAUAUUAUUUAAUAUUUGUAAUCAUAAUAAUUGGGAAUUGUUAAUAAAAGUUUUUUUACAUCACUUACCACAUAUUGAUCCGUAUAUACAAAAUGAAAUCAUAAUAAAAAUAAUUAUUUUAGCUGAACAAUAUUGUACCAAUUUAGCUACCUAUAUAGAUAUAAUAUUCGAGGCAAUCGAAAUAUCACACAAAUCUCUUUCUCAAGAGGUAUGGUUCCGUUUGGUACAAAUGGUAACAGGCUUUGUUAAUGAAAAUCAAAAACAGAAUCAAAAGCAAGACCAAGAUCAAGAUCAAAAUAGAAAAAUGUUAAAAAUGGGUAACAUGCGAGAUACAAGUAAAUUUAAUAAAAGGAAAGAUUCGGAUGCUCACUAUGGUAGUACCAGCAGUAGUAACAGCAGUAGCAACAGUAGUAGCAACAGUAGUAGCAACAGUAACAGGGGAAGGACUAACAUAAGUAGCAAAUCAGUAAACAUGUCUAGUGUUGUACUUACAUAUAAUAGAAAAACAAAUGGUAAUAGAGGAAACCAAUUUAUAGAAUCAAAUAGUAAAUAUAAGGAAAAUUAUAAUGUACAAAUAUAUGCAGCUACAAAAUGUUAUAAAUAUUUAUUACAAAAUUUUACAAAAAUAGAAUUAUUAACGAGUUUGUGUUGUUAUAUAAUUGGUACAUUUGGUUAUUUAAUUAAAAACAAAGUAACGAUGAAAGAACAAUUAAAAGUGAUGGAAAAAUAUUUUUAUGUUGUAUCAACAAAUACGAAAUAUGUGAUUUUAAUGGCAAUGGUAAAAAUGGUUUAUUAUGAUAAUAAAAUUAUAAAUAAUGUAAAAAAAAUACUUAAUGAUUGUAUUAAUCAUUCAGAUUUAGAAUUACAAACAAGAGCAUGUGAAUUUAUUAAUUUAUUUAAUAUUAACAGUACAAGCACGUUGAACUUUUAUAUUCAAAAUAUGCCUUUAUACAAUAACAAAAAAGUUCAUGACAAUUUUCUAAUUAAGCGUUUGCUUGAAAAAAAUAAGUAA
rnacentral:lncRNA from 1 species